UACGAAGGGGGCAAGCGUUGUCCGGAUUUAUUGGGCGUAAAGAGCGUGUAGGCGGCCAGGUAGGUCUGCUGUGAAAACUCGAGGCUUAACCUCGAGCUGUCGGCGGAAACCAUCUGGCUAGAGUCCGGAAGAGGAGAAUGGAAUUCCCGGUGUAGCGGUGAAAUGCGCAGAUAUCGGGAAGAACACCCGUGGCGAAGGCGGUUCUCUGGGACGGUACUGACGCUGAGACGCGAAAGCGUGGGGAGCGAACAGG
rnacentral:rRNA from 1 species